rnacentral:rRNA from 1 species
GACGUAGGGCGCGAGCGUGUCCGGAUUUAUUGGGCGUAAAGCGCGCGUAGGCGGCCCUGUAAGUCCGUUGUGAAAGUCAAAGGCUCAACCUUUGAAAGCCGAUGGAUACUGCAGGGCUCGAGUUCGGAAGAGGCGAGUGGAAUUCCUGGUGUAGCGGUGGAAUGCGCAGAUAUCAGGAGGAACACCGAUGGCGAAGGCAGCUCGCUGGGACGGUACUGACGCUGAGGCGCGAAAGCGUGGGGAGCGAACAGG